ACGAUCUUAUUAGAACAGGAUCUAUUCCAUAGGCUGACACAACCGCAUCCUUGAUCGCAAAAGAGACGGACAACUUAAUUCUGGUGGAUGACACAAAACCCCAGGGUCAGAGCGUGAUCAGUGGUGGAGAUCCCUUGGGAUCGAUGCUGUACAGGAUCUUCCUCAGCUCCCAAUUGGUGGGGUGGUCCCAAGGUUGUCUGACAGAUC